CCGCGUAGCCUGUAGCACAUUGAAUGCACGAGCUCCCCGUACACUGAAGUUAAGCAACGUUACGCGUGGUUGCUAUCUGGAUGGGUGACCAUCUAGGCGAUCACGUGCUGCUCGCU
rfam:Asian citrus Psyllid, Diaphorina citri - Florida Strain, whole genome shotgun sequence.